rnacentral:rRNA from 1 species
AGAGUUUGAUCAUGGCUCAGAACGAACGCUGGCGGCAGGCCUAACACAUGCAAGUCGAACGAAGCCUUCGGGUUUAGUGGCGGACGGGUGAGUAACGCGUGGGAACGUGCCCUUCUCUACGGAAUAGUCCUGGGAAACUGGGUUUAAUACCGUAUACGCCCUUCGGGGGAAAGAAUUUCGGGGAAGGAUCGGCCCGCGUUGGAUUAGGUAGUUGGUGGGGUAAUGGCCCACCAAGCCGACGAUCCAUAGCUGGUUUGAGAGGAUGAUCAGCCACACUGGGACUGAGACACGGCCCAGACUCCUACGGGAGGCAGCAGUGGGGAAUCUUAGACAAUGGGGGCAACCCUGAUCUAGCCAUGCCGCGUGAGUGACGAAGGCCCUAGGGUCGUAAAGCUCUUUCGCCAGGGAUGAUAAUGACAGUACCUGGUAAAGAAACCCCGGCUAACUCCGUGCCAGCAGCCGCGGUAAUACGGAGGGGGUUAGCGUUGUUCGGAAUUACUGGGCGUAAAGCGCGCGUAGGCGGACUAUUAAGUCAGAGGUGAAAUCCCGGGGCUCAACCCCGGAACUGCCUUUGAUACUGGUAGUCUUGAGUUCGAGAGAGGUGAGUGGA